rnacentral:rRNA from 1 species
UACGAAGGGGGCUAGCGUUGCUCGGAAUGACUGGGCGUAAAGGGCGCGUAGGCGGUUUGGUUCGUUAGGCGUGAAAUUCCUGGGCUUAACCUGGGGGCUGCACUUAAUACGGCCAGGCUUGAGUGUGAAAGAGGGUCGUGGAAUUCCCAGUGUAGAGGUGAAAUUCGUAGAUAUUCGGAAGAACACCAGUGGCGAAGGCGACUUACUGGACACAGUAUUGACGCUGAGGUGCGAAAGCGUGGGGAGCAAACAGGG